CUUCAGUCUAAUGCAGUUUCCAUAUUGGUUGUUGGCUGUGGUUUGGACUCUUCUUCUUCUUCUUUGUGCAAUGCCCAGACAGUGAUAACUACGGAGCCUAAUUAUUCAGUAAAUAAGGAACAAGCAAACAAAUAAAUGUGGGUGGAGGCCAUGGAUGACAGUUUCCUCAGAAAAUGGCAGAAUUGUUGCAAGGCCUGGUCCCUAAUCCCAGGUGUGGAGGAGCCACAUGGAUCUUAGGCCUCAAAAUCCAUGGUCUGCCUAUAGGACCAAGUAAGGAAUACAAUCCCACAGAAGAAAGGGUUUUUUGAUGGCAACCAUAGAUGGUUACAACUACUCAAGUUCAGGUAAGUUAAUUUAUGCUUAAAUAUGUGAUUUACAACAAUGAUCCAUUGUUAUACAUGAAUAAAU